UACGAAGGGUGCUAGCGUUGCUCGGAAUUACUGGGCGUAAAGGGAGCGUAGGCGGACAUUUAAGUCAGGGGUGAAAUCCCGAGGCUCAACCUCGGAACUGCCUUUGAUACUGGAUGUCUUGAGUGUGAGAGAGGUGAGUGGAACUCCGAGUGUAGAAGUGAAAUUCGUAGAUAUUCGGAAGAACACCAGUGGCGAAGGCGACUCACUGGCUCAUUACUGACGCUGAGGCUCGAAAGCGUGGGGAGCAAACAGG
rnacentral:rRNA from 1 species